rfam:Loxodonta africana unplaced genomic scaffold scaffold_25, whole genome shotgun sequence.
GCAGUGGUGGUUCAACGGUAGAAUUCUCGCUUUCCAUGCAGGAGACAUGGGUUUGAUUCCCGGCCAAUGCA